rnacentral:rRNA from 1 species
CUACGGGAGGCACCAGUCGAGAAUCUUCGGCAAUGGGCGAAAGCCUGACCGAGCGAUGCCGCGUGCGGGAUGAAGGCCCUCGGGUUGUAAACCGCUGUCAACGAGGAGGAAAUGCAAGGGGGUUCUCCCUCUUGUUUGACCUAUUCGAGGAGGAAGUACGGGCUAAGUUCGUGCCAGCAGCCGCGGUAAGACGAACCGUACGAACGUUAUUCGGAAUUAUUGGGCUUAAAGGGUGCGUAGGCUGUGCAGAAAGUUGGGUGUGAAAGCCCUCGGCUCAACCGAGGAAUUGCGCCCAAAACUACUGUGCUCGAGGGAGACAGAGGUGAGCGGAACUCAAGGUGGAGCGGUGAAAUGCGUUGAUAUCUUGAGGAACACCGGUGGCGAAAGCGGCUCACUGGGUCUCUACUGACGCUGAGGCACGAAAGCCAAGGUAGCAAACGGGAUUAGAUACCCUGGUAGUC